AUUUCUAUCCAGGAAUCUUCAGAAGCACAUAAUGGUAUGGUCGACAUUAUGGAAGUUCAUGGAGUAUGCCCGUAUCCAGACAGAUCUUCAUCUCUUAGCCAACAAGAAGCAAUACCAGGAAAUAUGUGGCAUUCAUCAGCCAGGUAGUCAUUUACCCCAAGUGGCAAAGUUAGAUACAGCCUGACAGCAAAAUACCCAUUCUUGGAAAAGGAGUGAAUUGUUUUGUGCUGCGGACACUGCAGAAUUGUGGAUUUGACAGUUUAACUUGUAGCUCACACACAGUAGGAAAGUUGUCAAGAGUGUAAUUAGCCAUUGGACAUGUGGUACAUACAUUUAGUGGUGGAGAAAUGGACCUGGUCAGACAAUUGGACAAUAAAUGUGUAUGAAACGAUCACCAUGGUGCUUUUCUAAUGGAAAGGGUUAACUUAAAGCAGGACUUGCACUGUCAUGCGAGGGGAAAAACACGAAAUGGAGACGAUCACUUACCAGUGCACACAGUUGACUAUAGAAGUCAGGAAUUGGCUGAAAAGGAUGUUGAUUUUGAUGCACUUCCUCGUAGCAACUUCAGUCCUACAGAACUAGGGGAGGCAACAAUUAUCACUGUUGACCUAGAAACCAUUGACCUAAUUCAAUAUGGGAAGAUGCCACAGCCGCAUACCACAACAAAUCGCUGUAGCACAGAAUAUCUUUGUCACACCUAAAAAGGAAAUUUCACCAGAGGCACAAAGGAUCACCAGGAUUGCAUGGAAUAUUCAGACAUGAUGAUGAUAAAAAGCACAAUAGUCCAACACAUCUGUACCUGGAAUUAAGUCGACUUUAGAGAAAUUGUGUACUUGGCUUGAAAAGAUCCUAAAGUGAUUUUGGUUGCCCGUUAUGGAAGACAAGUUGAUUUUCCAGUUCUUGUCUCGGCUCUACUGUGCACAAAAAUAACUAGGACAUUAUUCAGCUGAGUUUCUUCUAAAAAGUAUUCUUUUACCAGUGUUCAAGAAACUGUACCCUAAACAGUCAUACUUGCUAUGACACUACUUGGAAAAACUGGGAAGGCCUGCCAAGGGUUUUCAUAUGUUAAAGAAAAAUUUCAAGCAGUGACCUAUACUCAUGAUAAAUUUGGUACUAUAAUGUUCAUUAUCUUAAGUAAAAAAUGACAGUUGUAAUUGGAAAUUCGAAUUGUGUUAUUUUACUCUAUAUUUAAGAAAAUUAAUAUAUUCAAACUUGUAAAUUUUUUCAUUUGUUAAAAUGUUAUAUUAUAGCUUUAAGCCUUAAUGCCCUCUUUUUACAGUCUGCCUAAAGAAACACUUUAGUUGUUCUUGUUUAUUAUUUAGCCAUUUCCUUGAUUAAAAAUACACAACAGACUUCUAGCUCAAGACUUUCCAAGGUUGACAAGUUUUUACUUUCUUUGAUUUUGUUUAAGUUUGUUACUAUUUGUUAAAUACUUUUGUUCAAAAUUUAUUAAGGGGUAUAAUGUUACCUUUUAAUAGUAAAGUAAGGAGAAGACAACCUUUACUGUAAGCUAAUAUAGCUUUCUGUCCAAUGCCUGGAACAUUUUUUGUAAAUAUUUCAUGACUUUCAGAAUAAAAAUGUUUAAUUUAAAACUAUAAGUAAUGUAUAUAAACCCCAAACUUUUAAGGAGCAAGAAGACAAAAUUCCAUUUCAACUCUUGUAUAAAAUUAACUUUGUGAUAUUUUUCUUAGUGAUAAGUUUCUCAGUGAUAACUAGACAUUUAAUUUUAUAUCUGUUUAGAUUUUUGUACAGUUAAUUCAGGUGUAUACAAGAUAAUAUUUAUAAAGAUUUUUUUUAUGUUUUAAGCUACCUAAUUAUUUAUAUUAAAGAAAACUGUUAAAUUUUAAUUACUAAAAAUAUAAUAGUGCAUGUAAAUUCUACUUCACUAUACUUACAUAUUAUUGAAAGCUAAGGGACUCCAUUGGAAAUAAGUGAAAUUGUUACUUUAUGGUUAAUCCCAGGCAGAAAGAUCGUCUUUUUUCCCUGAUAUUUAUAUAUUAGCUUGAUUACAAUUGUAAAGUACAAACAUAUAAGGGUUUACUGCAUAUUUAUUAAUUCAAAUAUUUUUGAUUUCUGUACCACUUUGUAUUUCUGUUAUAACUGGAUCUUAUAUGCCUUAAUAAAAUUGAAUUGAAUUGAACUGAAUUGGAUUUUUAAACUGAAACUGAACUGAGUUGAAUUUUAAACUGGAACCAAACUGAACUGAACUGAAUUUGAAACAGAAACUGAACUGAAUUUGAAACUGGAACCAAACUGAACUGAACUGAAUUUUACACUGAAACUGAACUGAAUAAACUACAGUACAGCUUGCAUAAAGAGACCACCAAAUUGAAGGAAAAGACAUGUUCUCUUUAUUCAAAAUAAUUUCUUCUUUGAUAACAUAAAAGGGAUCUGAAAAACUGGUCUCUUAAUGCAAGAAGCCUCUAAAUCAAAUGUACUUUAUGAAACUUAUUAUGCCUUUGUGUUGCAAAUUUUGUAAUGUAGUUUUGUUGUGUCUAUGAUGAUUUCUCUAAAUAAACUUUAAACAUUA